rnacentral:rRNA from 1 species
GACGAACGCUGGCGGCGUGCCUAAUACAUGCAAGUAGAACGCUGAAGGCGGAGCUUGCUUCUCCGGAUGAGUUGCGAACGGGUGAGUAACGCGUAGGUAACCUGCCUUGUAGCGGGGGAUAACUAUUGGAAACGAUAGCUAAUACCGCAUAAGAGUAGCUGUCGCAUGACAUUUGCUUAAAAGGUGCAACUGCACGACUACCAGACGGGGCUGCGUUGUAUUAGCUAGUUGGUGUGGUAACGGCUCACCAAGGCGACGAUACAUACCAGAACUGAGAGGGUGAUCGGCCAGACUGGGACGGUGACACGGCCCAGAGUCCUACGGGUGGCAGCAGUAGGGCAGCUUCGGCCAUGGAUGGAAGUCUGAGCGAGCAACGCCGCGUGAGUGAAGAAGGUUUCCGGAUCGUAGAGCUCGGUUGUAAGGGAAGAACGAGUGUGAGAGUGGAAAGUUCACACUGUGACGGUAUCUUACCAGAAAGGGACGGCUAACUACGUG